rnacentral:lncRNA from 1 species
UACUCUGUUGCAUUGUCAAUGAACCAAGAAGGUUGUGAAGAUUUUCUAUGCUUGAAAGGAAAUAUGUUUUCCUUAAAAACGAUAUCCCUGUUAACAAAGAAAAUCUGGUUAGUGUAGUCAUAUAAAAAUGUAGCCUUUGUUGACUUCUGAAUAGCCCAUCAUCACUGCUGCCACUGCGUUGGCAUCAAACUUGUCUUAGACAUUUAUUUUCUUAGCAAAACACAAGUAUUCCAUCACCUACUGAGUUAGUAUUAGAGUAAAGAACCUUCUGUGUGCAACAAUAACAUUCACUUUUAAGUCUAAGCAAAUAUAACCAAGUGGUUCUGAAAUGAUCAUCCACAAUUAUUAGGAAGAUUUAUUUUCAUUAAAAGUUUGUACAUUGUAAGGUCCCCCAUACAUCAAUAUGUAGAAAGUGAAAAAUGUCAACAGUUGUACUAGUAGUGUUUGGAAAAGGUUGUCUAGUAUAAAUAGCUAGAGGACGGAUGAUACAACUAUAUAAUGCUACUUUACAUUCAUCUAGACUUAAGCCCAAUAAUUGUUUCAUUGCUCCUACUGGUGCAUGGCCAAAUUUCUUGUGCCACAUUUCUACAUUCAUCUUCUCUUUUAUUCCUUCUAAUCCUCUCUUUCCAUCCAUCUUAUUUUGUGUAAUGUUGUGAAUGAAUAUGUAGAGGCCUUUAUUUUUCUUACCGGUCCCUUCACCGUUCUACUGUAAAGGUCCUGGAAUAUGCAUAAUUAUGGAAAGAAGCACACUGAGCCUUGUAAUUCUUUCAUUAUCUUAGAUACUGAUAAGAGAUUAUACCUAAACUUUGGUAUAUAUAGGACAUUCUUUAUUUCAUCGUUAUCUGUCAAUGUACAUGAACCAAUGUGCGUUACUGUUGUGGUCUACCCAUUUGGUAAUUGUACUUUGUUCUUUUUAAUGUCAUUACUUCUGAUUUUAGUGCUCAAUAUACUUAAAUUAGAUACCAUAUAAUCUUCUGCUCAUGUGUAAACUAUCCACUUCCUUGCCUUGCAGUUUUCUAAGGGAGAAAUAACAUUACCUACCAUGUUAGCUACAGUAUUACCAUUUGAACUUUCUGCAAUGUUAUCCUUGUUGAGCAUUUUCAGAAUCUGUGAGUAUUGUUCAUGCGUGAAGUAAGGUCAUAUGAUGUUCUCAGUCGUGUUGACCCUAUCAUUACCACCAGUACUUCCAAUGUUUGUGCCAUGUGGUAUUUAAUUCCUCUUCCGGCAUUGUGCGCAACUGUGACAGUGGAAUUUUUUUGUAUUUUGAAUUUGUAGGGUAGUGUAUUAAGAUUGUGAUUCGCAUCGCACGACUCCACAGAGUAAUUCUCUGGUCCAGUCAAUUGAAGAUAUAUCAAAAUAGAACUGAAGUGUCUCUUGAGUGCAGAAAUAACAGGUGAUUGUGGCUCAAUUUCUCCGGAUCAAUGUUGUCAGUUGCCAUCUUCAGCUGGUAAAUUGUAAAUCCAAGGAUCGAAAUUGGCUAUACUAACAGACAUAAGGCUCUGUACCAUACGAUUUUAUCCCAUUCUCCAGUGUUCAACCUCUGCUUUAAUGGAGAUCGAGAAAGAACUGAACGAGAGAGAGAGAGAGAGAUGAACAAAUGCGCUAAGAUAUUCUCAAAAUGAGAGAACUUGAUUAUCAUUCUCCUUGUAUCUGUAUUUAUAGAAUGUUAAC